GUUUGGGUCCUGCGCAAUAGGACGCCGUGAACCUUGUCAGGUCCGGAAGGAAGCAGCAAUAAGCGGAAGCUCUUAUGUGCCGCAGAUCAGCCUUCUCCAA
rnacentral:SRP_RNA from 1 species